GACGAACGCUGGCGGCGUGCUUAACACAUGCAAGUCGAACGGAAAGGCCCUGCUUUUGUGGGGUGCUCGAGUGGCGAACGGGUGAGUAACACGUGAGUAACCUGCCCUUGACUUUGGGAUAACUUCAGGAAACUGGGGCUAAUACCGGAUAGGAGCUCCUGCUGCAUGGUGGGGGUUGGAAAGUUUCGGCGGUUGGGGAUGGACUCGCGGCUUAUCAGCUUGUUGGUGGGGUAGUGGCUUACCAAGGCUUUGACGGGUAGCCGGCCUGAGAGGGUGACCGGCCACAUUGGGACUGGGAUACGCCCCAGACUCCUACGGGAGGCAGCAGUGGGAAAUAUUGCACAAUGGGCGGAAGCCUGAUGAAGCAACGCCGCGGGCGGGAUGACGGCCUUCGGGUUGUAAACCGCUUUCGCCUGUGACGAAGCGUGAGUGACGGUAAUGGGUAAAGAAGCACCGGCUAACUACGUG
rnacentral:rRNA from 1 species